GAAAAUUAGAAGUAUUGUAUGGAAUAAAUUGGCGAUCUGUACCUCUUCAGAGUAUGUUGUGCUCACUGUGAGAUAAAUAUACCCAAUAAAAUCAUGCGGAGAAAAUAUCAAGACAAGAAAACCCUAGGGGGAGAACCCGGGAACGACCCAUGCGAUCUCCCCCGCACAACACAACAAUCAUUUUUUUAUUGAGUAUCUGAUGACCUGCCAUGCGAGCU
rnacentral:misc_RNA from 1 species